rnacentral:other from 1 species
GGAAAUCUGUAAUGUGCGAGUUAUCCCUCUUUAGUGUUGACCGAACAUUUUUAUUGAUAUAUUGGGAUCCGUCCGGUGUUCAAGUUAGUAACAUGCCUUUUCACUUGGUAGUUCAAUGCUUUGACCGUGGAACCCACCUGCUAUAACUUGCGGGAUCAAUACUCCGGGACAAGAAACGGCAUUGACGGAAAACCC